rnacentral:lncRNA from 1 species
AAGCUUUCCCAUGCUCAAACCUCCAAGUUUUGGGGUAAUCCCUCCCCUUUAGAGAUUAUAUAAAACUAUCCAGCUUUAUAUUUCUAUGAACAAUUCCACAAUCACACAAAUCUGCGACACCGACCAUUACGACUCUGACUAGAUCAUAAAAAACACUUGAAAGACCGUAAAAAAAAGUCUAAAAUUAUGAAUGUUUAAAUAUAUUAAAAGUUUAAAAUAAUAUAAAUGGGUUAUAUUGCAUGAAUGUUUAAAUAUACUAAAAAUGUUCACGGUCAUAAAAUUUCGUUAUACAAGUAUACCGUGAUUUAGGAAUAGUUUUAUAUUUUCUGAAUUAUAAUAUUGCAAGUAAAAUAUGAACAAAUACAU